GGUUUAGUAGCUCGGUCGGUGAAAUGUCUGCUUAACAUGCAGAAGGUCGUCGGUUCAAGUCCGGUUCAGAUCA